rfam:Shewanella sp. phage 1/40, complete genome.
ACAAAUAAAUCAUUGUUUGGCUUCAUAGAAAUGUGAUGAAUAAUUAAAUUUAUGAAUUCGGUGGAUCUCCUAAAUGGAAGUAGGACAAUACCGAGCGAAGCCUCGAAAGAGGAACGUGUAAAGACUAACUCGUAAGAGUGUAGGGGACGAUACAAUAUCCUCGAAGCGUAAAUAACCUGAACAUUAAGUUGAAGGUUAAGAUAUAGUCUGAACUUCUAUAGUAAUAUAGAG